GGCUGAGCUUGGCUGGUCAGCUGAGGGGGCAGGUGGCAUAGCUAAUUGACACCUGUGAGAAUUGCAUUCUAUUGGAUGCCACACCCACCAAGUAUGACUCGAACAGGCCCACACGAGUGUGACGUCCUUUCAGGAAGGCACCAUUCACAGGGAAAGUGCCAUCACAGUUGUGUGGUCCCUGAAAUUCAUGUAAAGAAAAGACAAAGUUCAAGAGUGUAAUCUUAUUCCUGCGUUUCUGCUAAUUCUCUUGUAGCAUCAACUCUAGAAACCAGUCUCACAGGGAUGAUGUUAUCACAAAGUUACUCAGACACGCUGAAGACGGCUACAGGUCCCUGAAGAAAGCAUUACUGAUGAACAGCAUCGCUAAACCCAAUGGACAGAUAACGGGAGAAAUUGAUACAGAUUCUAAGUUUCACUGUUAUAAAAUUAAAAGAUUCGGAAUUCAAAGAGCUCAUGAGAACACUAGACCCUGGGGGCACUGGAGUGGUCAAAGUCAGCUCCUUUAUUGACCUGCUUGAAGCGAGCCCUAAGAUGAGAAAAACAUCCCCCUGUACAGGCACUAAGACAUCUCUCCUCUUGGCAUGGGGCUCAAUGGAAGAAAUGGUUCAUGAUGCAAUCGCUAAGAAUCUACACGCUUUUUAUAACAUACUGCAAUCAUAUGACCUUGGAGACACGGGGUUCAUUGCUCGGAAUAAUUUCAAGAAAGUCAUGCGCAUAUUCUGCCCAUUUUUAACAAAUGAACAGUUAAUAAAACUCUGCUGUAAGUUUCAGGAUAUGACUUCAGAAAAAAUCCUUUACAAGAAAUUUUUGGCAUGCAUCAGAAUUAAUGCCCCCCCCCACAGUCUCUCCGAUUCUUGUUCCAAAGGAUCAGCCAAGUGA
rnacentral:lncRNA from 1 species